rnacentral:rRNA from 1 species
UACGGGGGGGGCAAGCGUUGUUCGGAAUUACUGGGCGUAAAGGGCUCGUAGGCGGCCAACUAAGUCAGACGUGAAAUCCCUCGGCUUAACCGGGGAACUGCGUCUGAUACUGGAUGGCUUGAGGUUGGGAGAGGGAUGCGGAAUUCCAGGUGUAGCGGUGAAAUGCGUAGAUAUCUGGAGGAACACCGGUGGCGAAGGCGGCAUCCUGGACCGACACUGACGCUGAGGAGCGAAAGCCAGGGGAGCAAACGGG